rnacentral:lncRNA from 1 species
UGGGAGGAGGAGGAGGCAUGGGAGGACUAGGAGGUGGCGCUGGGACAAACAGCGGCGCCGGAGGUGGCUUUGGUGAUGGAUCGUCCGGUGGGACUUCAAAGUCAAGUACAAAUGCAGAUCUUGGCAGCAGCGGAACGAAUGGACGAGAUGGGGCAGGUGCCUCAGGAGACGCAGGAGGUGAAAAAAAACCAGAGGAA